AUAAUCUGGCACCUUCGGUGUCCGAGUUGUAAUCUCUAGAAAUGUUUUCCGCGUUGGACCGCACACAAGUCUGUUGGAAUACAGCGGCAUAGUGGUGAGACCCCCGUAUAUGGUGCGGACGCCCAGCGCUUUGUGAUACAUUUUCGAAGAGUCGAGUUGUUUGGGAAUGCAGCUCAAAUUGGGUGGUAAAUUCCAUCUAAAGCUAAAUAUUGGCGAGAGACCGAUAGCGAACAAGUACCGUGAGGGAAAGAUGAAAAGCACUUUGGAAAGAGAGUUAACAGUACGUGAAAUUGUUGGAAGGGAAACGCUUGAAGUCAGACUUGCUUGCCGAGCAAUCGGUUUGCAGGCCAGCAUCAGUUUUCCGGGAUGGAUAAUGGUAGAGAGAAGGUAGCAGUUUCGGCUGUGUUAUAGCUCUCUGCUGGAUACAUCUUGGGGGACUGAGGAACGCAGUGUGCCUUUUGGCGGGGGUUUCGACCUCUUCACACUUAGGAUGCUGGUGGAAUGGCUUUAAA
rnacentral:rRNA from 1 species